UACGUAGGGUGCAAGCGUUAAUCGGAAUUACUGGGCGUAAAGGGUGCGUAGGCGGUUGUUUAAGUCUGUCGUGAAAUCCCCGGGCUCAACCUGGGGAUGGCGAUGGAAACUGGGCAGCUAGAGUGUGUCAGAGGAUGGUGGAAUUCCCGGUGUAGCGGUGAAAUGCGUAGAGAUCGGGAGGAACAUCAGUGGCGAAGGCGGCCAUCUGGGACAACACUGACGCUGAAGCACGAAAGCGUGGGGAGCAAACAGG
rnacentral:rRNA from 1 species